GUGAAUCAUCGAAUUUUUGAACGCAAAUUGCGCUUCCUGGCAUCCCGGGAAGUAUGCCUGUUUGAGGGUCAGUAAUAAUAAAAAAUCGGUUUAGUUACAAAUUGUGACGUUCGCGGGGUUUGGGCUAUCUUUACAUUUUUGUUUAAGCAGUUAAAAUUUUACCUUUUUUGCGCAUUUUUAAACGUACAUAAAUUUUCUUUUGUGUUCUAUACUUUAUAUUAAAAUCUAUU
rnacentral:misc_RNA from 1 species